CCUAAAAAACCUACCCCAACCACCCCUAUAUUAUCUCAACCUCCCUAACUCCCUCCCUUAGGUUCCCUUUAUAUACUGACAGAUCACGGACAAAAAACAAAAAAAAAAAACCAGAGAGGACAACAUUUUGAGAAUAGAGAAACUUAAGAAGAAUAGAUAGGGAGAGUGAAAAAGAAAGAAACGAAGAGAAUAAAAAAAAAAAAAAAACCAAAAGAGGGAGAGUUGAGAACAAAAGAAAAAAGAAAAAGAGAAAAAAUCUAGAAGAAAGACUAGGAGAAAUAGAAGCAGUAAAGGGAAAAAGGGAAAAAUAGAAAGGGGAAUGAAAUGAUUUGGCGAGUUUGAGUUCGGGGUCUUUUUCGAGUUUUCUGGUUCGACGUAAGGAUUUUUGUUUGAUUUAGUUCGUCAUACAGUUUCAGCCAAUGCGGCGGCGCCAUCUGCUACAUCCAGAUCUAAUUUAGGACCACAACAGCCUUCAGAAGAUAAUUGUGAGAUUAUGGUUUUUAAUGAAGGUAGCGAAAGGGGAAAAUUAAAUAUUAAUGGGGAGAACGAUUGCGCGAUUUGUCUAUCGGAGUUUAUAAAGGGUGAAAAUUACAGUGUUCUUCCGGUUUGUCGACAUAAAUUUCAUGCAGAUUGCAUUAUGAUUUGGUUAUUAGUAAGUAACAGUAAUAAAACUUGUCCCAUUUGCAGGACUCAUGUAACUACUGUAACCUCACCAAUAAAGUGAAAGUUCAGAUAGUCAA